CAGUAGCCACGGGAAUACGUAGGGCGCAAGCGUUAAUCGGAAUUACUGGGCGUAAAGCGUGCGUAGGCGGUGAGUUAAGUCUGCUGUGAAAUCCCCGGGCUCAACCUGGGAAUGGCAGUGGAUACUGGCUCGCUAGAGUGUGUCAGAGGAUGGUGGAAUUCCCGGUGUAGCGGUGAAAUGCGUAGAGAUCGGGAGGAACAUCAGUGGCGAAGGCGGCCAUCUGGGACAACACUGGCGCUGAGGCACGAAAGCGUGGGGAGCAAACAGGAUUAGAUACCCGAGUAGUCCCUGUCUCUUAUAC
rnacentral:rRNA from 1 species